AUCUAACACUUCCAUCAAAAUAAAAAUCCACAUAAUGGUUUUAAAUGACACGUGAAAGGACCUUGAUGUGUGAGACCAACUGGUUACCCUUUUGACCUCAAACCAUCUAGCCCAUCACCCUCUUUCUUUUUUCACGUACAUGUGAGACCCACUGGUCAUGUCCUUCUUCGAUUGCGCAAGGAACGCAACCCUUAAUGCCGCUCCUCCUCCCUUCACCGCCCGCUAGCAAUCUGGCACAUAGGUUAGUGAUCCCACGUCAGACAAUAGUAAAUCAGCGGACUUCACUGCUAACGGCCACACUCACCACCCAAACCUUUGUAAGCACACUCGCCCUCCAAGCACCCACACCACAUCCCUCUUCAGCCUCCCGGAAGCCGACGGCAGUCAUGCUCACCCUCACAGAAGCACCUACCUUCUUGCCACCUGCUCUACCUUUCUCACUCCGACUCACUCAGCCAAAAGUCGUCGGAGACGAGGAUGAAGAACUCUGACCGCCUCAUCUCUCCUCCGUGAGCUCCGACACAGAAGCCCAGUGCAAGAAACUGCGAGCCCCAUCUCUUGAUUUAGACGCCCAACGCGAGAAACUGUGAGCAUUAUUGUUCGAUUCACUACCCCGUCAGUAUCGAGCAGUCCAUGGUUGUCCGCCCCCUCCCCACGCCCUCCUCCACGAGGCUAGAUCCUACUCGCAGAGGUCACCAGUAGAUGAGCCAGGAAUGAAGCCAAAACCCUGGGCCAAAUUUUUGUCCGACAACAAAGAAAAACUUUGGACCUUAUAACAACCCCAAAAAUACCUCGUAACAUUUCUAACAAAAUACCUCAGAUGAAAACAUAUAAAAUAAAGUUCAACUGCUUAACAAAACUAUAAUUAAAACUCAAUGCACACUGAUUCAAGAAAAUCCAUAAAACAUGACAGAAGUACAAAUACUAAUAACAGGAUACAAAAAUACCAAAUCAACUGAUUGCUUCAUUCAUCAGUGCCUCCCAUAACUUGAUCAACGCUAGAUGAACCAACACCUUCAAUGCAUUAUACAAGUAUAAUUCCAUAAGAAAAAGGCAUAAACAUAAUGUGAAACAAUUAUGAUUGAUACAAAUCUAAAACCUUACCACUUCGACGAGGUAAAAGCCCUUUGUGAGACCUAUAUGAUUGAAAGUGAUAUAUAAUAGCAUCAUCAUCAGUACUUUCAAAUAGAUCUCGCUCAAUAUAGCAAACCAUCCUGUAAUUCAGCCAAUCAUCUCUCAUCUUAUUCCUCAAUUUCUAUUUCUACAACGUGAAAUGAAAUAGGCAAAUACUCGCUCCGUCCCAUAAUAUAAGAGCGUUUUUACACUUGUAGUGUCGAAAAUACCGUGCAUAUACGACUGAACACACACACGUUUGAUUUUAGAACACAGUACAUAUACGACUUGAAUUCAACAAUACAUCGAUUUGAAUUCAACAAUACCGUGCAUAUACGACUGAACACACACACGUUUGAUUUUAGAACACAGUACAAGCAGUCCCUGAAAGUCCCUGGUCGGCUGGUCCUGUACAAGUGAAAAUAAUCGAAGAAAAUUACCAAGGUCACUACUCACUGGUAAGUCAGGGAAGUAGGGAACGACGCACGGCGGCGAACGGCGCACCGCGCACGGGAACAGUGGCGGAGACCGGGACAAGGGGUGCCGCCAGGGGUGGAGCCACGGACGGGCCUGCUGCCUGGGGGCUGGGGAAGUGGGGGAACGGCGGCGGUCGGUGGACGGCUCCACGGCGGCGGCGGCCUCCAGGAUGGUGGCAGCUGCAUCCAGGCUUUGAGCCUUUGAGGCUUUGACUGGGCUGAACCCCGGGCUCAUUAACAAAACUCUAAUACAUAUACUAGCUACGAAAAAAUUCCACGCCCCGGAGGUG
rnacentral:lncRNA from 1 species